rnacentral:rRNA from 1 species
UAAGCGGAGARAAGACAWCAGGGAUUGCCUCAGUAACGGCGAGUGAAGCGGCAACAGCUCAAAUUUGAAAUCUGGCCCUAGGCCCGAGUUGUAAUUUGCAGAGGAUGUUUCUGGCGAGGUGCCUUCCGAGUUCCCUGGAACGGGACGCCAUAGAGGGUGAGAGCCCCGUACGGUUGGUCGCUAAGCCUCUGUGAAACUCCUUCGACGAGUCGAGUAGUUUGGGAAUGCUGCUCUAAAUGGGAGGUAUACGUCUUCUAAAGCUAAAUACCGGCCAGAGACCGAUAGCGCACAAGUAGAGUGAUCGAAAGAUGAAAAGCACUUUGAAAAGAGGGUUAAAUAGUACGUGAAAUUGUUGAAAGGGAAGCGCUUAUGACCAGACUUGGACCGGYUGAUCAUCCAUCGUUCUCGGUGGUGCACUCUGCCGGUUCAGGCCAGCAUCAGUUCGUCCCGGGGGAUAAAGGCUUUGGGAAUGUGGCUCUUCGGAGUGUUAUAGCCCACUGCGUAAUACCCUGGGAUGGACUGAGGUUCGCGCUCCGCAAGGAUGCUGGCGUAAUGGUCAUCAGUGACCCGUCUUGAAACACGGACCAAGGAGUCGUCUUCGUAUGCGAGUGUUCGGGUGUCMAACCCCUACGCGUAAUGAAAGUGAACGUAGGAGAGAGCUUCGGCGCAUCUCCGACCGAUCCYGAUGUUCUCGGAUGGAUUUGAGUAAGAGCAUACGGGGCCGGACCCGAAAGAAGGUGAACUAUGCUUGUAUAGGGUGAAGCCAGAGGAAACUCUGGUGGAGGCUCGCAGCGGUUCUGACGUGCAAAUCGAUCSUCAAAUAUGAGCAUGGGGGCGAAMGACUAAUCGAACCUUCUAGUAGCUGGUUUCCG